rnacentral:rRNA from 1 species
GAUGAACGCUGGCGGCGUGCCUAAUACAUGCAAGUCGAGCGAACAGACGAGGAGCUUGCUCCUCUGACGUUAGCGGCGGACGGGUGAGCAACACGUGGAUAACCUACCUAUAAGACUGGGAUAACUUCGGGAAACCGGAGCUAAUACCGGAUAAUAUAUUGAACCGCAUGGUUCAAUAGUGAAAGACGGUUUUGCUGUCACUUAUAGAUGGAUCCGCGCCGCAUUAGCUAGUUGGUAAGGUAACGGCUUACCAAGGCAACGAUGCGUAGCCUACCUGAGAGGGUGAUCGGCCACACUGGAACUGAGACACGGUCCAGACUCCUACGGGAGGCAGCAGUUGGGAAUCUUCCGCAAUGGGCGAAAGCCUGACGGAGCAACGCCGCGUGAGUGAUGAAGGUCUUCGGAUCGUAAAACUCUGUUAUUAGGGAAGAACAAAUGUGUAAGUAACUAUGCACGUCUUGACGGUACCUAAUCAGAAAGCCACGGCUAACUACGUG